CAAAACAAGAGAUGGGAACACGUGACUCGGCUGGGGGCGGGGGCGCGCACGUAGUCUGGCUGGGAGGCGGCGUGCUGCCAUGGCCUGUGUGUGACUGACGGGCGGUACGUGUUGAAUGGAACGUUCCAGGUUUAUUGGAUGCCACCUUGGAAUACACAUGGAAUAUUCUGUAUCCAUACAAGCCAUUAGAAAGAACCUAGAAAUAUAUAUCGGAUGAAACCAAGAGCACCAUGACUUCAACCAUAAAAAUAAUGACCAAGACUCAUGAAGACAAUCUCUAAUGUGUCUGCAAUUCAUUUUGGAAUUGCAGACCCUAAAUGGCGUUAGCCUCAUCAUCAAAAUACUGUUAAGUACAAUGCUCUCCCUUAAAUACAUGUAUGUGCCACCUUUUGCAGCUACAAGGAAUUUAAGAGCUAGGUGGCUUUGAAGAGAAAUCUUAUGGACGUGGGCCAUUUCUGAAAUUCCUUCAUUACCAUAUGGUCUAUGUAUAUGAGUGUAUAGAUGGGUCAGUAUAGGUUGUGUGUGCUGGGUUUACUUGGAAGGGUUGAACCUGAUGGACUUUGGUCUUUUUUAACCUUGUGUAAUUGUGUAACCAAAGUGACCCGCUCUUCAACUCUGUGUCAUGAAACCUUAGCCAUAUUUGUGUCCUGCUUCAUUAUUGAACUUUGUCUAUUUUGGAUAAUA